rnacentral:rRNA from 1 species
UACGUAGGCGGAAGAUUAAGUCAGUGGUGAAAUCCUGCAGCUUAACUGUAGAACUGUCAUUGAUACUGGUUUUCUUGAAUUUAGUUGAGGUAGGCGGAAUGUGUAAUGUAGCGGUGAAAUGCUUAGAUAUUACACAGAACACCGAUUGCGAAGGCAGCUUACUAAACUAUGAUUGACGCUGAGGUACGAAAGCGUGGGGAGCAAACAGGAUUAGAUGCUCUGGUAGUCC